UCAUAACGAUUGUUGUAUGAUGUACGUUGUGUGUAUGACAGUUUGAUUACCCGCGGCUUAGAAUGCCACGUUAUCAAAAUUUAUUUCAUCGCUAAUAUAUUCAUGACGACUAUAUAUGUCUCAAAGUUGACACGCCUAUGUCAUUAGAGUACCAAGCUCAUUUGAACCUGCUCUCGAUCCUAUAUAACAAUGGCUACACCGAGUUUAUUAGUGGUAGGAUUUGAUUGUGAGUUUGUGAAGCCUCCAUUGGUCCAGUCAGAGUGUCCAGUCUGUCUCCAUGUCAUUCGUGAGCCCCAUCAGGUCACAUGCUGUGGCAAAAGAUUCUGUCAAUUAUGUAUCCAGCGAGUCAAGGAUACCGACAAAGCGUGUCCAACAUGUAAGAAAGAGGAAUUUUUUGAAUAUCCUGACAUAGGACAUAAGCAAUUUGUCUAUGGCCAGAGUGUUUAUUGUAGCUAUCGAAAAGACGGGUGUGAGUGGACGGGGGAACUGGGACAGCUUGAUGAGCACCUCAACACGAAUCCACGACUAGAGAAAGAAAAAAUAUCGUGUGACUUUGUUAAGGUUGUUUGUAUCCAUAACUGUGGAGCAAAGUUACAGCGGCGGUACAUUCAAAUCCACCAGACAGAGCUUUGCUCCAAGCGUCCUUUCAGUUGUGAACAUUGCCAUGACUUUGAUUCUACUUUUAUUGAUGUAGCUGAAUGCCAUUGGCCUGUGUGUGGAAGUUUCCUUGUCCCCUGCCCUAAUGAGUGUGGUUCACAUCCCCAACGUCAAAACCUAGACAACCAUGUUGCUGUUGAGUGCCCAUUGGCAUUUAUUAACUGUCAUUUCCACCAAAUGGGUUGUGCUGUGAAACUUAUUCGUAGAGAAAUGCCAGAACACUUGAGAGAGAGCCUCCUCACACAUAUGUCCCUUUUAGCCACCAGUCAUGUCAAGCAACAAGCUCAAAUUGCAAGUCUAAUCACUGAUAAUGAUGAACUAAGAAGCAAAAACACCAACCUGGAACAAAAUCUUUUAUCACAUGAGACCAAUUUUGCUGCUCUACAGGCGCAGGUCACCACGUUAGGGCAAGAAAACGAAUCACUCAAUGCCAAAAGUACUGAACAGCAAAUUGAAAUUUCAAAACUCAAUGUUGAUUGUAUUCGGCUGGUUGCUGAAAAUAGUCAUCUUAAGACGAAUGUUUUUGAGUUGGAACCGUUGCGACAAACUUUUAAAGCUUCCUUACCUCUUGUGUGCACUAGACAUGUUAAACUGAGUCUCCCUGUACUGGUAAUGAUGGACUUCUACCAGCAUAAACAUGCUGAUGAUAACUGGUACUCCCCUCCAGUUUACACCCAUCACCGGGGAUACAAGAUAUGUAUGAGAGUGGCUGCUAAUGGCGAUGACAGUGGUACAGGAACGCACGUCUCUAUAUACGUGAACUUUAUGAAAGGGGAGUUUGAUAAUUUGCUAAAAUGGCCAUUCCGUGGCAUCAUCUCGAUACAGCUACUUGAUCAAGACGGACAUAAAAAUCAUAAAACUGACUCAAUUGUCUAUGAUGAUACUGUUGGAGACAAUGACUGUAGCAGAGUGAUGGAAGGAGAUACAAACGGGUGGGGAUGGGGAAAAGCUGAGUUCAUUGCUCACUCUCAACUGGAGCCCAAGUACUUAAAGAACAACACUCUACUCUUUCAAAUCUUCAAAGUUGAGCUUCAAUGACAAUAAUUUCAUCUUACAAAAAUUGCGAAGCGCAUGCACAGUGACAUCUUGAUCACAAUGUCCCGUGCUACUGUCCAGUCAGCACGCCCAUGUCACCAGACUCCUCUCUGCAUCUGAAGGACCGGCUACCAGACGAGUGCUACAAGUAAUGAAGUGGGGUCUAGUGCCCAGCUGGUACAAAGGCGAACCUGGAAAAUUCUCC